AUCCAACUGACAAGUCCCAAAUAGGACGAAACGCGCAUCUUGAAC
rnacentral:hammerhead_ribozyme from 1 species